UACGGGGGGAGCAAGCGUUGUUCGGAGUUACUGGGCGUAAAGCGUGCGCAGGCGGUUUUGCAAGACAGAGGUGAAAUCCCCGGGCUUAACCUGGGAAUGGCCUUUGUGACUGCACGGCUAGAGUGUGUCAGAGGGAGGUAGAAUUCCACGUGUAGCAGUGAAAUGCGUAGAUAUGUGGAGGAAUACCGAUGGCGAAGGCAGCCUCCUGGGAUAACACUGACGCUCAUGCACGAAAGCGUGGGGAGCAAACAGG
rnacentral:rRNA from 1 species